AUGCGAUUGGGUGAUAGAGUUUUGGAAGGAGAAAUUAUUACUGGAUCACAUAAAGGGGAGCGCGUAUGCAUUCCACGUAUAGUUUUAAAUUCAGCAGGUUCUAAAUGGCCUUUCACACUCCGACGAUGUCAGUUCCCAAUAAGGCUGUGUUAUGCCUUGACUAUCAGCAAGAGCCAGGGGCAAACUUUGUCUAAGUUAUGCGUAUACUUGCAGGAGCCGGUGUUUUCGCAUGGACAAUUAUAUGUGGUAGUGUCCCGGGUUACUUCAUGCAGUGGGCUUAAAUUUUUGAUCGAGGAUGAUCGUGGAUGUCCAACUUCUGAGACUAGAAAUAUAGUUUACAGAGAGGUUAUUCUUCGAUUCUAA
rnacentral:rRNA from 1 species